rnacentral:tRNA from 1 species
GGGGAUUUAGCUCAGUGGCACAGCAUCUGCCUGGCAAGCACGAGGUUGUGAGUUCGACCCCCAAUACCAA